AGACCUAUGAAGGUCGAAGGGGAAGAAAAGCUGUAUCGAUUGUUGAGAUCUGGCGACUUGUUUAAAUUUCAUCAGCCUCACUUCUAUGAACUCUCAGGCCUCACGUGUACCAGCUCUCUGCUCUCCUUUGCCUUGGGACGUUCCAUCCCUGGAAGUUUCCCUGCCCACAUCUUUGUAGAGAGUCCAUUCUCCAAGCUUCAGUGUGUCAUCUGUGAGGACCGUGACCCACCUGGUACAUCGCCUCAGGGCAUUCAUUUCAGGCUCCUUCUAAAUGGCCAAGGAUCAGAGGGAAACAGACCAUUUUCUAUUGUGACAAAGAGAGAACCCAGGAAAGGGGCAGUGUUUUUCCCCUCACAGGUGAUGGAGUUUUUAUAAAGAAUGCAGCGGAUAAUGGCAGGCUUGUCCUCUGAACAGAUGGUGAUGGUCUUGUUGCUAGGAUGAGGCCUCAAGAAUUUAGUUUUUAAUUCCACAUUAUUUGCCUCAGUGCCAUGAAUAUCCCUAGGUUUCCUGAGGCAAAAAUACAGAAAAAAAAUCCACAGAAAGAGUGACACACAGAGAGAGAAAGAGCAAGAGAUGGGGCAACUGAGCAGAGACUGGAGCCCGGUCAAGAGAGGCUUUGGGGAAAAUGCCUGCUCAGCUGUCUGCAAUCACCUGGGUUUAAAGCAGGCAGGAAGGAAGAUUGGUUUGGCAGGAGAACUGGCCCUUUGAUGCCUUCGAUACCACAGAGAAAAAUUCCCAUUUCUUCCCAUUAGAAGUCUGUUUACUUUCCUAAUUAAGAUAAACAUGUUUCUGAAGGAGUUAGCUCUUAUAGCAUGACAUUUAUAAAAUCAACUAUAUAUACACACAAGAAUGUUUGCCAGGAAUUUGGGCUGAUGGUGAUUGUAUGAAGCAUUUUAUAGAAAUAUUUUUAAAUAGUUGCCUUAUUUAAAAAUGAGCGACUUUCAUUCCCUCCAGUCAAUUAAAUAUCUAAUUUCAACUCUCGGAGAUAAUAACUGAAGUAGUUUUUUUAAUAAAUGAAUGAACAGUUAGAAAACUGUUAAACACAUAGCCCUGAAGCAUGAAAAAUAUAUUCGUUGAACAGCUUUAUUCUUUUAUUGUUAAUUUACUUCAGAGAAUAUCCACUCGUGUAAUUUUCAAUAAAGUACUCUUAUUUUGAAGUCUC
rnacentral:lncRNA from 1 species